AUUGAACGCUGGCGGCAUGCUUUACACAUGCAAGUCGAACGGAUCUAGGGGCUUGCUCCUAGGUUAGUGGCGAACGGGUGAGUAAUGCAUCGGAACGUACCGCGUAGUGGGGGAUAACCUGGCGAAAGUCAGAUUAAUACCGCAUACGAUCUACGGAUGAAAGCGGGGGACCUUCGGGCCUCGCGCUAUACGAGCGGCCGAUGUCGGAUUAGCUAGUUGGUGAGGUAAAGGCUCACCAAGGCGACGAUCCGUAGCGGGUCUGAGAGGAUGAUCCGCCACACUGGGACUGAGACACGGCCCAGACUCCUACGGGAGGCAGCAGUGGGGAAUUUUGGACAAUGGACGCAAGUCUGAUCCAGCCAUGCCGCGUGGGUGAAGAAGGCCUUCGGGUUGUAAAGCUCUUUUGUCAGGGAGCAAAUCCUGCCUGCUAAUACUAGGUGGGGAUGAGAGUACCUGAAGAAUAAGCACCGGCUAACUACGUGCCAGCCGCCGCCGUAAAAC
rnacentral:rRNA from 1 species